rnacentral:rRNA from 1 species
GGGAUAGCCCGGCGAAAGUCGGAUUAAUACCCUAUGUUCUUCGUAGAUGACAUCUGAAAUGAAGCAAAGAUUUAUCGCUAAGGGAUGGGGAUGCGUCCGAUUAGGUUGUUGGCGGGGUAACGGCCCACCAAGCCUUCAUCGGUAGGGGUUCUGAGAGGAAGGUCCCCCACAUUGGAACUGAGACACGGUCCAAACUCCUACGAGAGGCAGCAGUGAGGAAUAUUGGUCAAUGGACGGGAGUCUGAACCAGCCAAGUAGCGUGCAGGAUGACGGCCCUAUGGGUUGUAAACUGCUUUUAUCAGGGGAUAAAGUGCGGGACGUGUCCCGUUUUGUAGGUACCUGAUGAAUAAGGACCGGCUAAUUCCGUGCCAGCAGCCGCGGUAAUACGGAAGGUCCGGGCGUUAUCCGGAUUUAUUGGGUUUAAAGGGAGCGCAGGCGGGAGCUUAAGCGUGACGUGAAAUGUAGCCGCUCAACGGCUGAACUGCGUCGCGAACUGGGUUUCUUGAGUGGGUACGACGUCAGCGGAAUUCGUGGUGUAGCGGUGAAAUGCUUAGAUAUCACGAAGAACCCCGAUUGCGAAGGCAGCUGACGAGUCCUCUACUGACGCUAAAGCUCGAAGGUGCGGGUAUCGAACAGGAUUAGAUACCCUGGUAGUCCGCACGGUAAACGAUGGAUGCCCGCUGUCGGCGACACACUGUCGGCGGCCAAGCGAAAGCGUUAAGCAUCC